rnacentral:rRNA from 1 species
GGCACCUGCCAUGUCACCCUGCAGCCCAAGACCGGUUACUCACUGAAGCUAAGCAGGGCUGAGCCUGGUCAGUAGCUGGAUGGGAGACCACUAGGGAACACUAGGUUGCUGUUGGAA